rnacentral:rRNA from 1 species
UACAGAGGUCCCAAGCGUUGUUCGGAUUCACUGGGCGUAAAGGGUGCGUAGGUGGUCAGAUAAGUUUGAUGUGAAAUCUCCGGGCUUAACCCGGAAAAUGCAUUGAAUACUAUUUGGCUGGAGGGUUGGAGGGGGGACUGGAAUACUUGGUGUAGCAGUGAAAUGCGUAGAUAUCAAGUGGAACACCAGUGGCGAAGGCGAGUCCCUGGACAACUCCUGACACUGAGGCACGAAAGCUAGGGGAGCAAACAGG